UUACGGAAAUUAUCGCUCAUCCGUGUUAUGCGGACUGUGCGUUUUAUCGUCAAGGAUGUGGAUAGCAUUCCUUCGCGAGGACUUCCGCGGUUUAUCUAAAGCGGUUCUAUUUCCGGAAUAUCAACGUUGCAUUCCUUCAUCUUUCAUCGUCGUCACCGACAUCGACAUCGUCAUCGGCGUCAUUUUUCAUCCUGCGGAUUUGCUAUGCUUGCUUCGCAAUUGCUGCGAUGCGACGCGGGAAAUGCGACGGACUAAUUACCAAUCCAAUAAAUCAUCGAGGUAAAUAACAGCGACGAUUCGUCACGUGUGUGAUCAGAAUUAGUCUCGUUCGUUAUAUUCGAUAUUACACAAGCACGCGUUACGAUUCAACGUGUUUCGUACCCGCCUACCAAACGACAGAUAAUGCGAUGAUUAGAGUUUACGUAACAUAAUACAAAGCUGUGCGUAACAGAAUCCGAAGCGAUCUGAUGAAUUUCAUUUAACAUUCAUAUUUAUUUUCAUCAUUUUAUUCGUCUUUAAACGCAGCCUGCUGCAACCGGUACUUUUCUUCCAUCUCAGUAUUCAGUGAUCAACCGAAUGAAAUAAUUUUCUAAUUAGCAUAAAUUUGAUAAUACGACGUAAAGAUCUCCGUUUAAACUGUCCCUCAUAAAGAUUUAUAAAUACGCGUAUGAGGUUACGAAAAUAAGUAAUUAUGAAUCAACGCAUAACUGAAUAAAUAAAUUUAUGAACACCUAGACACUGUGCUAAGCGGUAGUUACGAUCUCGUCGAGAAUCCACGAACAGCGACCGGCGCCUUGGCAGUGUGGUUAGCUGGUUGUGUGAUCUAUUUUAUAAACACGACCGCUAUCGGCACUGCAGCUGUGACGGUCGCAUUACUGCAGAUGUAUUGUAAUGUAUUAUUCCAAUUUACGUCAUAUUUCGAAAUGCAACUAAUGCAGCAGCACCAGCAGCAGAUGCCAGAAACAGAUAAUCAACCGUAUCGAGAAAAAAAUCUGAUCAAUGAUCCAACAGUAUCUA
rnacentral:lncRNA from 1 species